rnacentral:lncRNA from 1 species
ACCUGGGCACACCUGGAUGCACCUGGGCACACCUGGGACACCUGGCAGACCUGGCUCACCUGGACACCUGGACAUCUCACACACCUGGGCAUGCUUGGGCACACCUGGCACACCUGGAGACCUGGGACACCUGGGCACCUGGACACACCUGCCAUAUCUGGGCUCACCUGGCACACCUGAGCACCUGGGCACACCUGUGCUCACCUGAGCAUACCUGGACACUUGGGUUUUUGGGGGGUUUUGGGUAUUUUUGCUUUAUUUUCCUUUCCUGAACAAGUAGCAGCUGCGUGCCCAGCUCUGGGUGAGGAGGAGCUGCGUGUCCCUCACCCUGCUCGGCCCUCAUCAUCCUCACUCCCACCUGAGAGCGGCCCUGGCACAGCCCAGGUGGGAGCCAGGCUGCCAGGAAAUGCACUGGCUGCAUUUCUGCUGCAUUUCUGCUGCAUUUCUGCUGUCCCUGCUCUGCCCACAGCAUCCCCUGCGUCCUGCAGCCCCCUGAGCCCCUCCAAAUCCACAAAACUCCCUCUGGAAAUCUCCCAGGACAGAAAUCACCUCUGUAGCCGCAGUUCUGUCAAUAGCAAAGGUUCUCAUCUCAUUGGUUUUUUACCAGAAAUGCUUUGCUAAGCGCUGCUGUUGGAAAUACCAGUUCCAGCUUUUCUAGCAAAACAAGGGGGGGAAAAAGGAAAAAAACCUCUCAAGGAGGAAAGGGAAUGGAGGAAAGGGACUCAGUGGAGACCCGGCCUGGCCCUUUGGGCAAGGAGAGCAGGGAGCCCCUGGCAGAGGCUCUGGUGCCUCCGUCCCUCUGCCAGGUGAGGUGGGACAGACCUGGGAGUGCCGAGGAGCUGAGGCUGCAGCAGCCGAGGCUGGGCUCCCUUUGGGCCCCUCUUCUGUCGGUUCUUCCUUUGAUCCUCCUGUGCUGUUUGUCCUCCCCUGAUCCCCCGUUCUGUGUGUGCCCCCCGACCCCCUGUUCUGUGUGCAGGCAGCACGGAGCAGCCCCCAGCCCCCUGUGCUGCUCGCCCACCCCUCUGUCCCAGUUCUGCCCCCCCAGGGCACUGCCAGGGGCAGGGGAAGCUCGGAGCCCCCGCUGCAGCUGGGGUGGGACCCCUUGGAUGGACAGGAUUGGGUCAGGCAAAGAGCUCCUGGCCUGGCUUGGCUUGGUCUGGUUUGCUCUGGUUUGCUCUGGAUUGCUCUGGUUUGCUGUGAUUUGGUCUGGUUUGUUCUGGAUUGGUCUGGAUUGGUCUGGAUUGGUCUGGUUUGCUCUGGUUUGUCUGGUUUGUCUGGUUUGCUGUGAUUUGUCCCCACCACGGACGGUGUGAACACUGGGACAGUUAACACAGGAUCCCUGUCCCCCACAGAUCCUCAGCAUUUCACAAAUGUCUGGGGAGGAAAUUGACUUUCCACAAGACAGCGUCGAGAAUUUUAUUUUUAUAGUGCUGGUUAGCCAAUGAGGUAGUUAAUUAAUUGGUUAAUUAACCAAUAAACCUCCUGCUGGGGGGAAAUGUAAAAGCUGU